rfam:Schistosoma mansoni strain Puerto Rico chromosome 6, complete genome
GCACUGCUGAGGAGUCCCACAAUAGGUCGAAACGGCCGUCCAGUGC